GACAGAGGGUGCAAACGUUGUUCGGAAUUACUGGGCGUAAGGCGCGUGUAGGCGGCCCUGCAAGUCGGGUGUGAAAUCCCACGGCUCAACCGUGGAAGUGCACUCGAAACUGCAAGGCUAGAGUCCUGGAGAGGAAGGUGGAAUGCUUGGUGUAGAGGUGAAAUUCGUAGAUAUCAAGCGGAACACCGGUGGCGAAGGCGGCCUUCUGGACAGUGACUGACGCUGAGACGCGAAAGCGUGGGGAGCAAACAGG
rnacentral:rRNA from 1 species